AGUUUCCCUUGGUUCAAGACCAAUAGUCGCUCGAACACUUCAUAUAAAAAUCAAUUCAAAUUACAUUUUUGUAGCCUUGCGGAAUUAAAAAGGUUAAAUCUUAAAAAUGGCGGUUUCGCAAUCUUGUCGCUAUCUUGUUUUUUCGCUAUUUUUGCUAAUUUCCAGUGAUAACCACAAUAUACAAGCAGUCGAUUCCGGUUGAUGUAAACAGUUUUGUUUAGAAAUUCGAUUUAGGCAAAGGAGUAAGUGCGAAAAGUGAAGUUUUAUCCUACAGUACAAUCCGAUUACGAUUCCUCUCCGACGGCGAUUGUUACUACGAGGAGUUUACUAUUCCGGCAGCGAAGAGGAAACACCGCAAAUAAGGACCGACGAACCAAAGCCGCAACUUGAAUGACAUUUUAAUAAAAGGUGGUGCAAUUUUGUGUAAAAACCUGAAACUUUAGAAGCCAGGAAAAGAGCCAAGGAGUGUUAUGUCGCCAAUAACGGAUUGGUGGUACUCAUUGCCGAAGGAAAGAAUCCUCUCAACACGUCCGAGCUCCAUCCAGACGAGGAAUAUUGGGCCACCGUACGCGGCACCUGAAGCCGAAAAAAUCAGCCUCCUGUCAAGGACGACGUCCCUGUGCAGCCAGCAUAACUGCCAUGGAAAUCAAAACAUUAACUUUGAAUCGAUUGAUUAAAAGCUGUAAUUAAUUACUAAA